AAACAAAAAAGAUUUCCUGUAACGGUAGUAUUGAUUCAAAAUUGUUGAAAUUACCAAGGAUGAUAUGCUCUUUAAGAUGUAAAAAGUGGGGGAAGGGGAACCUAACAGCACAUACAUCAAUAUCAGGGAUAUGGAGAGGUGAUGUGAAGAGAAACAGAGAAAAAAAACCGGGAUUUGAUACUCGAAUCGAUCGUAGUCGUUAAGAAAGGGUACAAGCUAUUCGACGAGAGUUAAAUGUCGACUUAAAAUUUUAAGUAAAUAAUUAAAAUUCUUAGAAAGUGUAGUAAAAAAUUAAUUGAACAUUUUUAACAUUAUCAGAAGAAUUUAAAGUAUUUUUAAUAAAAGUAAAAUACCAAAAAGAUCAAAAUGUUUUAACGAUUUUUUUAAAUAUCAACGUUUAGAUCGUUUAAUUGGAACAAUUAUAAAGUACUCGGAAAGAGUGAUUUAAAAAUGUUUGAUCAUUUUAAUAUGUCCUAUUAAUAUUAUCAUUAUUGAUAUUAUCUUUUAAAUAAUGAAUUUUAUGUUGAAAUAUGAUUUAUAUAAAGUUUAUUAUUUAUUAAGGGUUUUCAGGAAAAUUAAUAAGACAGGUCAAUCGAAUUAUAUUUAUUUAUAUAAGUACAUAGGUACAUAUUUAUAAUUUUUGUUCGUACGUAACUGUUAUGGUACUAAGUUUUAUGAUUCAACCAUUGGAAGAAAUAUUAAAAGAUUUCAUAACAAUUAACGUGGAAAAAAAAGCGAUUGAUAUAUCAUUAACUGUUUGUUAUGUAGCAACAUAUAUAUUUCUUUGUACUAUCCGAAAUCUUGUGUCGAAAUACCUGAUAAAUAAUAACAAUGUAUUAUUUUCAAAGAAAAAACAAAGAAAGAGAUGAAAUAAAGUGUUAAGUUAAUAUUUCGUUUAAUACCCAAUACAUAGCUUUCGCAACGAUCCUCGCAUUUAGUUAAAUUGGAAGAUUCAGCGUAUAUUUAUCUAGUAUCCUUAAACCGAAUAUUCGCACAAGUAUUAAACGAAAAUAUGAAAGCUUAUUAUGAAGAUUCAGUGAAGAAGGUACAUAUCGAUGCUUGGCAAUCUGUUUUUCAUCUUUGCGGAAUCAAUGAUUAAACAGAUAGGUUUUUCGUGAAUCCACCCCAUAUUCCCAUGUCAUGUCCCAAAAAAUCAGGAACUGCUGGCCCUAAUGAUAUAUACAUCAAGGAUUGUUACAAAAGUGUAUUUCAUUUGAUCAAUUGAAAUAUAAUAUUACAGGCUACAAGUUUUCUUACAUCCGAUCCUGUAAUAUUUUUAUUAAUAAUAAUUUACUUAAUUAAAAUUAUUAAUAGAUGGAGACAGAAUUAUUUUCGCUAGUCCGUCAUAAGUUUAU